rnacentral:rRNA from 1 species
UUCCGUAGGUGAACCUGCGGAGGGAUCAUUACCGAGUUUACAACUCCCAACCCCUGUGACAUACCACUUGUUGCCUCGGCGGAUCAGCCCGCUCCCGGUAAAACGGGACGGCCCGCCAGAGGACCCCUAAACUCUGUUUCUAUAUGUAACUUCUGAGUAAAACCAUAAAUAAAUCAAAACUUUCAACAACGGAUCUCUUGGUUCUGGCAUCGAUGAAGAACGCAGCAAAAUGCGAUAAGUAAUGUGAAUUGCAGAAUUCAGUGAAUCAUCGAAUCUUUGAACGCACAUUGCGCCCGCCAGUAUUCUGGCGGGCAUGCCUGUUCGAGCGUCAUUUCAACCCUCAAGCACAGCUUGGUGUUGGGACUCGCGUUAAUUCGCGUUCCUCAAAUUGAUUGGCGGUCACGUCGAGCUUCCAUAGCGUAGUAGUAAAACCCUCGUUACUGGUAAUCGUCGCGGCCACGCCGUUAAACCCCAACUUCUGAAUGUGACCUCGGAUCAGGUAGGAAUACCCGCUGAACUUAAGCAUAUCAAUAAGCGGAGGAA